UACGUAGGCAGCGAGCGUUGUUCGGAGUUACUGGGCGUAAAGGGUGUGUAGGCGGUUCUUUAAGUUUGGUGUGAAAUCUCCCGGCUCAACCGGGAGGGUGCGCCGAAUACUGAGGGACUUGGAGUAUGGGAUGGGAAAGUGGAAUUCCUGGUGUAGCGGUGAAAUGCGCAGAUAUCAGGAGGAACACCGGUGGCGAAGGCGGCUCACUGGACCGGUACUGACGCUGAUGCGCGAAAGCGUGGGGAGCAAACAGG
rnacentral:rRNA from 1 species